CAGUCGCCACGGUAAUACGUAGGGUGCAAGCGUUAAUCGGAAUUACUGGGCGUAAAGCGUGCGCAGGCGGUUAUAUAAGUCAGAUGUGAAAUCCCCGGGCUCAACCUGGGAACUGCAUUUGAGACUGUAUGGCUAGAGUGUGUCAGAGGGGGGUAGAAUUCCACGUGUAGCAGUGAAAUGCGUAGAUAUGUGGAGGAAUACCGAUGGCGAAGGCAGUCCCCUGGGAUAACACUGACGCUCAUGCACGAAAGCGUGGGGAGCAAACAGGAUUAGAUACCCGCGUAGUCCCUGUCUCUUAUAC
rnacentral:rRNA from 1 species